AAUGAGGGGGGAACACACUUGACGGACAAAUACUCCUGACUGACCGAUAGUGAACCAGUACCGUGAGGGAAAGGCGAAAAGAACCCCGGCGAGGGGAGUGAAAAAGAACCUGAAACCGUGUACGUACAAGCAGUGGGAGCACAGAGCAAUCUGUGUGACUGCGUACCUUUUGUAUAAUGGGUCAGCGACUUAUAUUCUGUAGCAAGGUUAACCGAAUAGGGGAGCCGAAGGGAAACCGAGUCUUAACUGGGCGUUAAGUUGCAGGGUAUAGACCCGAAACCCGGUGAUCUAGCCAUGGGCAGGUUGAAGGUUGGGUAACACUAACUGGAGGACCGAACCGACUAAUGUUGAAAAAUUAGCGGAUGACUUGUGGCUGGGGGUGAAAGGCCAAUCAAACCGGGAGAUAGCUGGUUCUCCCCGAAAGCUAUUUAGGUAGCGCCUCGUGAAUUCAUCUCCGGGGGUAGAGCACUGUUUCGGCAAGGGGGUCAUCCCGACUUACCAACCCGAUGCAAACUGCGAAUACCGGAGAAUGUUAUCACGGGAGACACACGGCGGGUGCUAACGUCCGUCGUGAAGAGGGAAACAACCCAGACCGCCAGCUAAGGUCCCAAAGUCAUGGUUAAGUGGGAAACGAUGUGGGAAGGCCCAGACAGCCAGGAUGUUGGCUUAGAAGCAGCCAUCAUUUAAAGAAAGCGUAAUAGCUCACUGGUCGAGUCGGCCUGCGCGGAAGAUGUAACGGGGCUAAACCAUGCACCGAAGCUGCGGCAGCGACACUGUGUGUUGUUGGGUAGGGGAGCGUUCUGUAAGCCUGUGAAGGUGUGCUGUGAGGCAUGCUGGAGGUAUCAGAAGUGCGAAUGCUGACAUAAGUAACGAUAAAGCGGGUGAAAAGCCCGCUCGCCGGAAGACCAAGGGUUCCUGUCCAACGUUAAUCGGGGCAGGGUGAGUCGACCCCUAAGGCGAGGCCGAAAGGCGUAGUCGAUGGGAAACAGGUUAAUAUUCCUGUACUUGGUGUUACUGCGAAGGGGGGACGGAGAAGGCUAUGUUGGCCGGGCGACGGUUGUCCCGGUUUAAGCGUGUAGGCUGGUUUUCCAGGCAAAUCCGGAAAAUCAAGGCUGAGGCGUGAUGACGAGGCACUACGGUGCUGAAGCAACAAAUGCCCUGCUUCCAGGAAAAGCCUCUAAGCAUCAGGUAACAUCAAAUCGUACCCCAAACCGACACAGGUGGUCAGGUAGAGAAUACCAAGGCGCUUGAGAGAACUCGGGUGAAGGAACUAGGCAAAAUGGUGCCGUAACUUCGGGAGAAGGCACGCUGAUAUGUAGGUGAAGUCCCUCGCGGAUGGAGCUGAAAUCAGUCGAAGAUACCAGCUGGCUGCAACUGUUUAUUAAAAACACAGCACUGUGCAAACACGAAAGUGGACGUAUACGGUGUGACGCCUGCCCGGUGCCGGAAGGUUAAUUGAUGGGGUCAGCGCAAGCGAAGCUCUUGAUCGAAGCCCCGGUAAACGGCGGCCGUAACUAUAACGGUCCUAAGGUAGCGAAAUUCCUUGUCGGGUAAGUUCCGACCUGCACGAAUGGCGUAAUGAUGGCCAGGCUGUCUCCACCCGAGACUCAGUGAAAUUGAACUCGCUGUGAAGAUGCAGUGUACCCGCGGCAAGACGGAAAGACCCCGUGAACCUUUACUAUAGCUUGACACUGAACAUUGAGCCUUGAUGUGUAGGAUAGGUGGGAGGCUUUGAAGUGUGGACGCCAGUCUGCAUGGAGCCGACCUUGAAAUACCACCCUUUAAUGUUUGAUGUUCUAACGUGGACCCGUGAUCCGGGUUGCGGACAGUGUCUGGUGGGUAGUUUGACUGGGGCGGUCUCCUCCUAAAGAGUAACGGAGGAGCACGAAGGUUGGCUAAUCCUGGUCGGACAUCAGGAGGUUAGUGCAAUGGCAUAAGCCAGCUUGACUGCGAGCGUGACGGCGCGAGCAGGUGCGAAAGCAGGUCAUAGUGAUCCGGUGGUUCUGAAUGGAAGGGCCAUCGCUCAACGGAUAAAAGGUACUCCGGGGAUAACAGGCUGAUACCGCCCAAGAGUUCAUAUCGACGGCGGUGUUUGGCACCUCGAUGUCGGCUCAUCACAUCCUGGGGCUGAAGUAGGUCCCAAGGGUAUGGCUGUUCGCCAUUUAAAGUGGUACGCGAGCUGGGUUUAGAACGUCGUGAGACAGUUCGGUCCCUAUCUGCCGUGGGCGCUGGAGAACUGAGGGGGGCUGCUCCUAGUACGAGAGGACCGGAGUGGACGCAUCACUGGUGUUCGGGUUGUCAUGCCAAUGGCACUGCCCGGUAGCUAAAUGCGGAAGAGAUAAGUGCUGAAAGCAUCUAAGCACGAAACUUGCCCCGAGAUGAGUUCUCCCUGACCCUUUAAGGGUCCUGAAGGAACGUUGAAGACGACGACGUUGAUAGGCCGGGUGUGUAAGCGCAGCGAUGCGUUGAGCUAACCGGUACUAAUGAACCGUGAGGCUUAACCUUACAACGCCGAAGGUGUUU
rnacentral:rRNA from 1 species